rnacentral:rRNA from 1 species
UGCGUAGGCGGACUUGUGCGUCAGAGGUAAAAUGUCACGGCUCAACCGUGAACCUGCCUUUGAUACGGCAAGCCUGGAGUGCGGGAGAGGAUGGUAGAAUUCCUGGUGUAGCGGUGAAAUGCGUAGAUAUCAGGAGGAAUACCAGUGGCGAAGGCGGCCAUCUGGCCCGCAACUGACGCUGAGGCACGAAAGCGUGGGAGCGAACAGGAUUAGAUACCCUGGUAGUCCACGCCCUAAACGAUGUAUGCUUGGUGUUGGGAGCUUUGCUCUCAGUGCCGGAGGUAACCCGUUAAGCAUACCACCUGGGGAGUACGAUCGCAAGGUUGAA